GACGAACGCUGGCGGCGUGCUUAACACAUGCAAGUCGAGCGGAAAGGCCCUGCUUUUGUGCGGUGCUCGAUUGGCGAACGGGUGAGUGACACGUGAGUAUCCUGCCCUUGACUUUGGGGUAACUUCAGGAAACUGGGGCUAAUACCGGAUAGGAGCUCCUGCUGCAUGGUGGGGGUUGGAAAGUUUCGGCGGUUGGGGAUGGACUCGCGGGUUAUCAGCUUGUUGGUGGGGUAGUUGUUUACCAAGGCUUUGGCGGGUAGCCGGCCUGAGAGGGUGACCGGGCACCUGGCGACUGAGAUACGGAGCAGACGGGUAAGGGAGGCAGCAGGGGGGAAUCUUGCAGAAUGGGCGGAAGCAUGAUGCAGCAACGCCGCGUGCGGGAUGCUGGCCUUCGGGUUGUAAACCGAUUUGGAAUGUGACGAAGCGUGAGUGACGGUAAUGGGUAAAGAAGCACCGGCUAACUACGUG
rnacentral:rRNA from 1 species